AACGUAGGAGACAAACGUUAUCCGGAGUUACUGGGCGUAAAGGGCGUGUAGGCGGUUGGUUAAGUCUGGCGUGAAAGCUCUCGGCUAAACCGGGAGAGGUCGUUGGAUACUGGCCGACUAGAGGACGGUAGAGGCGUGUGGAAUUCCGGGUGUAGUGGUGAAAUGCGUAGAGAUCCGGAGGAACACCAGUGGCGAAGGCGGACUUACUGGUCCGGUUCGUGGACGCUGAGGCGCGAAAAGCGUGGGGGAGCAAACAGG
rnacentral:rRNA from 1 species